GUGGGAAAUGGCUAACUUAUU
rnacentral:miRNA from 1 species